CCUCAAACCCUCAAAUCCUUAAAAAAUAAUUGCUUUUUUACAGUUUGCGAGCAAAAAAACGCGUAGACUAGAACCCCUUAACCCUCAAACCCUCAAAAAAAUUUGAGGAUCCAACCCUCAAACUCCCUCCCAACCUGUAGAAGUGAGGGUUGGGGAGCGAAAACUACCCCAGCCCUCAAACCGUUCCAUCGUCGCGCGGGAGGGACUUUUCCCCGUCCCCAACCGCCGCCGCCAUUCCGGCCACCCGCCCGCCGCCAUUCCGACCGAGCCGCGCGACCGCCCCCGCCGCCCCAAGCCGCCGCCGCGCCCCN
rnacentral:lncRNA from 1 species